rnacentral:tRNA from 1 species
GGGGUUGUGGCUCAGCAGGAGAGCAUUCGCCUAGCAUGUGCAAGGCCCUGGGUUCGAUUCUCAGCACCACA